AGAAAAUCUUGUAAGAUGAAAGCUGAAGGAUGAGAGCAAUUAAUUGAUGAAGUAUGAUGAUCCAGGUGUCCCUGGGUGAAGAAACAACCUCUACAAAGGCCCUGAGGGUCUCGCUCAUCACCAGGCUGGAGUACAGUGACAUGAUCACGGCUCACUGCAGCCUCAACCUCCCGGGUUCAGGCUAUCCUCCCACCUCAGCCUCCCAGGACCACAGGCGUGUACCACCAUGCCCAGCUAAUUUUUUGUAGCGAUGGGGUUAUGCCAUGUUGCCCAGGCUGGUCUCGAGCUGCUGGGCACAAGCAAUCUACCCAUCUCAGUCUCCCAAAGUGCUGGGAUUAUAGUCGUGAGCCACUGUGCCCAGCCAACAGCGUCUUUCAAAGAGCAGAGAGAGGUUAAUUUUGAUGAUGUCCAGUUUGCA
rnacentral:lncRNA from 1 species